rnacentral:tRNA from 1 species
GUCUUUCUAGUAUUAAACAGUAUUAGUGACUUCCAAUCACCCGGUCUUGGUUAAAGUCCAAGGAAAGAUA